CAAUAGCGUAUAUUAAAGCUGUUGCGGUUAAAAAGCUCGUAGUUGGAUUUCUGUCAAGGACAACUGGUCCGCCCUCCGGGUGAGCACAUAGUUUGGUCUUGGCAUCUUGCUGGAAACUGUUGCUGCGCUGGUUGUGUGGUGCAGCUUUCAGCACUUUCACUUUGAGGAAAUUGGAGUGUUUCAAGCAGGCACAUGCCUUUGGACACAGUAGCAUGGAAUAAUUAGAUUGGGCUUUUGCUCCAACUUGUUGGUUCCUGGAGCUGAGGUGAGAAUCAAUGGGGAUUGUUGGGGGCAUCCGAAUUUAGCCGUCAGAGGUGAAAUUCUUGGAUCUGCUAAAGACGGACAACUGCGAAAGCGUUUGCCCAGGAUGUUUUCAUUGA
rnacentral:rRNA from 1 species